UCUCCUGGAAACGGGUGGUAAUGCCGGAUGUUCCACAUGAGCGCAUGCGAGUGUGGGAAAGGCUUUUUGCGGCAUGGGAUGGGGUCGCGUCCUAUCAGCUUGUUGGUGGGGUAACGGCCUACCAAGGCGUUGACGGGUAGCCGGCCUGAGAGGGCGACCGGCCACAUUGGGACUGAGAUACGGCCCAGACUCCUACGGGAGGCAGCAGUGGGGAAUAUUGCACAAUGGGCGCAAGCCUGAUGCAGCGACGCCGCGUGCGGGAUGGAGGCCUUCGGGUUGUAAACCGCUUUUGUUCAAGGGCAAGGCACGGUUUCGGCCGUGUUGAGUGGAUUGUUCGAAUAAGCACCGGCUAACUACGUGCCAGCAGCCGCGGUAAUACGUAGGGUGCAAGCGUUAUCCGGAUUUAUUGGGCGUAAAGGGCUCGUAGGCGGUUCGUCGCGUCCGGUGUGAAAGUCCAUCGCUUAACGGUGGAUCCGCGCCGGGUACGGGCGGGCUUGAGUGCGGUAGGGGAGACUGGAAAUUCCCGGUGUAACGGUGGAAAUGUGUAGAUAUCGGGAAGAACACCA
rnacentral:rRNA from 1 species